AAUAGAUACCCAGGUAGUCCACGCCGUAAACAAUGAGUGCUAGGUGUUAGGGGGGUCCAACCCCUUAGUGCUGAAGUUAACACAUUAAGCACUCCGCCUGGGGAGUACGACCGCAAGGUUGAAACUCAAAGGAAUUGACGGGGGCCCGCACAAGCAGUGGAGCAUGUGGUUUAAUUCGAAGCAACGCGAAGAACCUUACCAGGUCUUGACAUCCUCUGACAACCCUAGAGAUAGGGCGUUCCCCUUCGGGGGACAGAGUGACAGGUGGUGCAUGGUUGUCGUCAGCUCGUGUCGUGAGAUGUUGGGUUAAGUCCCGCAACGAGCGCAACCCUUGAUGUUAGUUGCCAGCAUUCAGUUGGGCACUCUAACGUGACUGCCGGUGACAAACCGGAGGAAGGUGGGGAUGACGUCAAAUCAUCAUGCCCCUUAUGACCUGGGCUACACACGUGCUACAAUGGGCGGUACAAAGGGGCAGCGAAACCGCGAGGUGGAGCCAAUCCCAUAAAGCCGCUCUCAGUUCGGAUUGCAGGCUGC
rnacentral:rRNA from 1 species